rnacentral:rRNA from 1 species
UACGUAGGGUGCAAGCGUUAAUCGGAAUUACUGGGCGUAAAGCGUGCGCAGGCGGUUUUGUAAGUCAGAUGUGAAAUCCCCAGGCUUAACCUGGGAACUGCAUCCGAUACUGGAUGGCUUGAAUCCGGGAGAGGGAUGCGGAAUUCCAGGUGUAGCGGUGAAAUGCGUAGAUAUCUGGAGGACACCGGUGGCGAAGGCGGCAUCCUGGACCGG